GACGAACGCUGGCGGCGUGCUUAACACAUGCAAGUCGAACGGAAAGGCCCUGCUUUUGUGGGGUGCUCGAGUGGCGAACGGGUGAGUAACACGUGAGUAACCUGCCCUUGACUUUGGGAUAACUUCAGGAAACUGGGGCUAAUACCGGAUAGGAGCUCCUGCUGCAUGGUGGGGGUUGGAAAGUUUCGGCGGUUGGGGAUGGACUCGCGGCUUAUCAGCUUGUUGGUGGGGUAGUGGCUUACCAAGGCUUUGACGGGUAGCCGGCCUGAGAGGGUGACCGGCCACAUUGGGACUGAGAGACGGCGCAGACUCCUACGGGAGGCAGCAGUGGGGAAUAUUGCACAAUGGGCGGAAGCCUGAUGCAGCAACGCCGCGUGCGGGAUGACGGUCUUCGGGUUGUAAACCGCUUUCGCCUGUGACGAAGCGGGAGUGACGGUAAUGGGUAAAGAAGCACCGGCUAACUACGUG
rnacentral:rRNA from 1 species